ACUCAGGUGUUGUUGGGUAGGGGAGCGUUCUGUAAGCCUGCGAAGGUGGCCUGUGAGGGUUGCUGGAGGUAUCAGAAGUGCGAAUGCUGACAUAAGUAACGAUAAAGCGGGUGAAAAGCCCGCUCGCCGGAAGACCAAGGGUUCCUGUCCAACGUUAAUCGGGGCAGGGUGAGUCGACCCCUAAGGCGAGGCCGAAAGGCGUAGUCGAUGGGAAACGGGUUAAUAUUCCCGUACUUGGUGUUACUGCGAAGGGGGGACGGAGAAGGCUAUGUUGGCCGGGCGACGGUUGUCCCGGUUUAAGCGUGUAGGUGUGUGUUCCAGGUAAAUCCGGUUCACUUUAAC
rnacentral:rRNA from 1 species